GACGAGGGGACCGCCGGGAGGGGCGGGGGUCUCACUUGGAGUGCCUCUCUGCCGCAGGGUAGGCGCAGCUGCCCAGGAAACCACCAGAGGCUGCGGGCUAUUAAUAGCCCGUGCAUGCAGGGCCAAGCGCAGCGUUGCUGACAUUUAGAAAAGAUCUCCUGUGUGAAGUUGCUUGGAGGCUCCGGCUUUGCAAAUGCAAUUAAAUAUAGAUUUCUCUGGGGUGAGGCAGGGAAGGGUGUGGGUGUGUUGUAAAUCGUGCAGCAAAGCCGUUUAACUCUGAGGAGUUCAGCAAGCGCUUUCCAGCCCCUACUGUGUGUCCCGGAGUGUGGGCCAAGAACCUCAUGUCUGUAUGCCUGCUGGGGCCUGGGAAGAUCUUAUAACAAGAUACCUGAGAGCUAAACUAGGAGAAAUCCUGAGGACCUGCGGGAGCCAUGGGGCAGGGACAUCGUGGCCCCUCGACUGUGCCUGGUCCCAUCUGGUGUCUUGCUGGCAGCUGGAGCUGGUCUGACCCCUGCGGCCAGCUUCAGCAGGAGUUCACUUUUGCCUGAAGUGACCAAAAUCUUCUGAUGUCGUCAGAGGUAAAGAUCACUUACUAAGG
rnacentral:lncRNA from 1 species